rnacentral:rRNA from 1 species
GGCUCACCUAGGCGACGAUCCCUAGCUGGUCUGAGAGGAUGACCAGCCACACUGGAACUGAGACACGGUCCAGACUCCUACGGGAGGCAGCAGUGGGGAAUAUUGCACAAUGGGCGCAAGCCUGAUGCAGCCAUGCCGCGUGUAUGAAGAAGGCCUUCGGGUUGUAAAGUACUUUCAGCGGGGAGGAAGGCGAUAAGGUUAAUAACCUUGUCGAUUGACGUUACCCGCAGAAGAAGCACCGGCUAACUCCGUGCCAGCAGCCGCGGUAAUACGGAGGGUGCAAGCGUUAAUCGGAAUUACUGGGCGUAAAGCGCACGCAGGCGGUCUGUCAAGUCGGAUGUGAAAUCCCCGGGCU